GCCUCUGCAUGCCCAAGAGCUUGUCACGCAUGAAUUGUCUUCUCUAAGGCCUAGCUGGGAACACUGCAGACCACUGUCCCUCCAGAAGGCAGAGGGCAAAGGCAGAGAAGAAAAAGGCAGCGUAUUCUCAGGCUGCUCUCUACCCACUGAAGAUGGUAUCUGCUCUCUCCAGAGGCAGCAAAUCCCCUGUUCACCUCUGGCCAGCUGGUAAAAGAGACUUAAAGGUAUUCUAUUAAAGUCCAAUACAACUUUUAUCAUUGCACAGUUUAUUGUACCUUUGAAAUUUUUCAAAUGUCUGUGUCAAAAAAAGAAAAGAUGAUAUGCAAACCAUUAUAGCUGUGACACCUGAGAUGACAAUUUCCACCUGCAGUGACUGAGCGCCAGGGUCGAAGGGCCCAUGAA
rnacentral:lncRNA from 1 species